rnacentral:lncRNA from 1 species
CAGAUACGUUAUUCUUAAAGCUCAUUCUUCUUUAUCUCAAAACUCUGCUAAAUUCUCCGUUCGAGCACUCCAUUCUUGUUGAGGCAGAGAACUGACUUGAGCGUCGGAGGGUCUUGCCGGAGCAACCCCACCUCCGGUUUAGACUUCCCUUGCAGGUCCCGGCGGCGACCGCGGCUUCCCCGACUCCAGCUUCUCCGGCGCAAGC